rnacentral:rRNA from 1 species
UCGUGGUUUGAGUUGGCUGGUUAAUUCCGAUAACGAACGAGAUUUCAUUUCUUAACUAAACCUGUUCUUUACUUGGUUUCGGCCUCGGGAAGGAUGGAGUAAAGGUUUUCUUAAGAAGACGAGAGACAAAAAGUCUUUGGAAGCGUGAAGCUAGAACA